UUAAAAGUAGCUUAAAUAUAAAGCCCUUAAAUGUUAAUUAAGAAUUUGUCAUAUAGACCUUUUAAU
rnacentral:tRNA from 1 species